rnacentral:rRNA from 1 species
GAGUUUGAUCCUGGCUCAGGACGAACGCUGGCGGCGGGCCUAACACAUGCAAGUCGAGCGAGAACCGGAGCUUCGGCUCCGGGGACAGCGGCGAACGGGUGAGUAACACGUGGAUAACCUGCCCUCGGCACCGGAAUAGCCCGGGGAAACCCGGAUUAAUGCCGGAUAGCCCCACAUCCCUGCGGGGAACGUGGGAAAAGGUAGCUUCGGCCUCUGGCCGAGGAUGGGUCCGCGGUGGAUUAGCUUGUAGGCGGGGUAAUGGCCCACCAAGGCGACGAUCCAUAGCUGGUCUGAGAGGACGAUCAGCCACACUGGGACUGAGACACGGCCCAGACUCCUACGGGAGGCAGCAGUGGGGAAUCUUGCGCAAUGGGCGAAAGCCUGACGCAGCGACGCCGCGUGCGGGAAGAAGGCCUUAGGGUUGUAAACCGCUCAGGAGGGACGAAGCCACUCGGGUUAAUAGCCCAGAGGGUGACGGUACCUCCAGAAGAAGCCCCGGCUAACUACGUGCCAGCAGCCGCGGUAAUACGUAGGGGGCAAGCGUUGUCCGGAUUCAUUGGCGUAAAGAGCGUGUAGGCGGCCAGGUAGGUCGGUUGUGAUUACUGGAGGCUCAAGGUUCAGAGGUCGACCGAAACCAUCUGGCUAGAGUCCGGAGAGGGAGAGUGGAAUUCCUGGUGUAGCGGUGAAAUGCGCAGAUAUCAGGAAGAACACCCGUGGCGAAAGCGGCUCUCUGGAACGGUACUGACGCUGAGACGCGAGAGCGUGGGG